AAGAGGGGAAAGGAGAGGUGGGGGCCAGGAUCCACAAGAGAGAAAGCGACUCAUAUAACGCGUGACCAAAGGCAGUGGGGGUGUUCAUUUCAAACCUCGAGGGUUGUGUUAUUUGAUGAAACGUGGAUUUCAACAGCAAAUGAGAAAAUGAAAACCCAGGACCCAUUUUUAUCUCGAUACCAUGUUCAAUGUAAUAACCAAACCCUUGGUUUUCACGAGCCCCCAACACCCCCCAUCUCUCUGCUACAAUCAGGUGCUUUUGUCGGAAUCAGACUUCCUGUGUAAUUGCAGCUCUCAUCCAAUAUUGAUCCAUGUGGGUCUAGUGCUAAUCAACAGCCCAGCAGCAACCUCCAUGCUAGGAGGGAGGUCAGGCAGACUAAAAGGGCAAGGUGUUACUACUUUACAACAGAAUCAUACAAAGCCCUGGGUAGAAGGGCACUACAAAGGGAAUAUGGUUCAAUUUGGGAUGCCGCCCAUCACUAGGAGGAUGAAUGAACUCCAUACAGGCUUAAGGCGGACUCUCUACCCUAUCCCUCUAGCAGAUAAGGAGACAUCACAGGCGUAUUGCUAGGGUCUCAGUCCAUUCAAUAAAUACUGGAUUUUCUUUAGGUUUAAUGGACCAACUCUGCCUUCAGUAGUGCUUGGAAUGAGGGUCAUUAACUCACAUUUGAGCUACAUCAAAUCUCAGAAGUUAAAUUGCCAGAUAUGUUUAAAAAGAUAACCAAUUUUGAAAAUGAUAGGGCGGUGAACGUUUUUGACUCCAGAAGAAACAAUCAGGACGUGGUACAGACACCGGAGCGACGUACCACAAAGCACGCUAGAACUGCUCAGGAUUUAAUAAAGCUAGCGAGUCCCGCACUCCAGUUCAGGCAUCAUCGGUGAAACGACUGAAUAUUGCUUGCCCAUCUGCAGCUAACUCUAGCUGGUUUGUAACUGUGCUUACUAGCUGAACGCCCAACUCUUUGAGACGACGCUGAAACAUCAAUCCACGGGCGAGUCAUCCCACUUCCCAUUUACAUUUUUGCCCGAAAUCAACAUGAAAGAAGUUAUCUUCCGAAUUCAGUAAGCUAUGCUGUGGAACAGCCUAUUUGAUGUGCAGCUUCUUUAAUUACGAAUCAUUAAUGCCAUCUUUGAUGUGCUUUCUCUGGCUUAUCAAUGCACAACCACCUUUCCCCCACUGCUAUAAAAUCAUUGUAUUAAGUCCUUCAACGGUUUUAGUGUGUGAACUUUAAAAUGCAACCUCUCAUUAUUAAUGUGUAACGAGUGUUAACAUUAUAUAUCGAAAAGGUCUAUCAAUAAAAUACGUAUAUAAGCUCUGAAAUGAAGCAGAUGACGACGCUGAUUGGAAAGGGAAGUCUUAUUUGCCUAGUAGACUGCUCAGUAAGCUGUAUGUUAACCUGCCCCGGAGCUGGUUGGAUCUAAAGGUCUGCUGUGGCAUUUAAAGGUUGGUAUCAAGGGACCUAACGCGUGCCAACAAAACAAUCCCAUAGCAAUACACCACCGCCAUCAGCCUUGACUCAUGCUGCCUAUGCCAAACCGGUACGACACAACGGGAUCUGGGAUUCGUAAAAAAAAUGAAAACAGGUCUUCUUCUCCAGUCACAGCCCCAGGGGAGCCUUCAUCUUUGGGGAUGCACAGUGAGACCUGAGAAGAAAACCGGAGAAAGAUGAGGGUCUCUAUCUCUUCCCCUGACAGCCAUGAUGAAUAAGGCUCAGGGCCAGGGAGAGCAGCGUCGUCUGAAGGGAAAUGGAGCUGAACCCAUCCAAAACCUCGGCACCCAAGGGUUUGAAUGAUGAGCAACUUCUUAACGUGAUGUUAAGAGACGCUUCCCACCUGUUUGUCACGCUGUCCAUUUUAGACUUAUUCUAUAAUGCCUCACCAUGGGUGGGAGUGACAGAGUAUCCAGUUCCAGGACUCUAGCUUUCAGCAUGACCUCCAACAGGCUCUGUGAAG